AUUGAACGCUGGCGGCAUGCUUUACACAUGCAAGUCGAACGGUAACAGGCCGCAAGGUGCUGACGAGUGGCGAACGGGUGAGUAAUGCAUCGGAACGUGCCCAGUCGUGGGGGAUAACGCAGCGAAAGCUGCGCUAAUACCGCAUACGAUCUAUGGAUGAAAGCGGGGGACCGUAAGGCCUCGCGCGAUUGGAGCGGCCGAUGUCAGAUUAGGUAGUUGGUGGGGUAAAGGCUCACCAAGCCAACGAUCUGUAGCUGGUCUGAGAGGACGACCAGCCACACUGGGACUGAUACACGGCCCAGACGCCUGCGGGAGGCAGCAGUGGGGAAUUUUGGACAAUGGGCGCAAGCCUGAUCCAGCAAUGCCGCGUGCAGGAAGAAGGCCUUCGGGUUGUAAGCUGCUUUUGUACGGAACGAAACGGCUCUGGUUAAUACCUGGGGCUAAUGACGGUACCGUAAGAAUAAGCACCGGCUAACUACGUGCCAGCAGCCGCGGUAAUAC
rnacentral:rRNA from 1 species